GACGAACGCUGGCGGCGUGCUUAACACAUGCAAGUCGACCGGAAAGGCCCUGCCUUUGUGGGGUGCUCGUGUGGCGAGCGGGUGAGUAAAAAGUGAGUAAACUGCCCUUGAAUUUUGGGUAAAUUUAGGAAAAUGGGGGUUAUAACGGAUAGGAGUUCCUGAUGCAUGGUGGGGGUUGGGAAGUACCGGCGGUUGGGGAUGGACUCGCGGCUUAUCAGCUUGUUGGUGGGGUAGUGGGGUACCAAGGUUGUGACGGGUAGCCGACCUGAGAGGGUGACCGGCCACAUGGGUACUGAGAGACGGCCCAGACUCCUACGGGAGGCAGCAGUGGAGAAUAUUGCACAAUGGGCGGAAGCCUGAUGCAGCAACGCCGCGUGCGUGAUGACGGCCUUCGGGUUGUAAACCACUUUCGCCUGUGACGAAGCGUUAUUGACGGUAAUGAGUAAAAAAGCACCGGCUAACUACGUG
rnacentral:rRNA from 1 species